rnacentral:rRNA from 1 species
ACGGAAGGCAGCAGUGGGGAAUAUUGCACAAUGGGGGAAACCCUGAUGCAGCGACGCCGCGUGAGUGAAGAAGUUAUUCGUAAUGUAAAGCUCUAUCAGCAGGGAAGAAAAUGACGGUACCUGACUAAGAAGCCCCGGCUAACUACGUGCCAGCAGCCGCGGUAAUACGUAGGGGGCAAGCGUUAUCCGGAUUUACUGGGUGUAAAGGGAGCGUAGACGGUCUAGCAAGUCUGAUGUGAAAGGCAGGAGCUCAACUCCUGGACUGCAUUGGAAACUGUUAGUCUUGAGUGUCGGAGAGGUAAGCGGAAUUCCUAGUGUAGCGGUGAAAUGCGUAGAUAUUAGGAGGAACACCAGUGGCGAAGGCGGCUUACUGGACGAUAACUGACGUUGAGGCUCGAAAGCGUGGGGAGCAAACAGGAUUAGAUACCCUGGUA